rnacentral:tRNA from 2 species
GGUUCUAUGGUGUAAUGGUGAGCACUCUGGACUCUGAAUCCAGCGAUCCGAGUUCGAGUCUCGGUAGAACCU